UACAUGUAAACGCUUAGUUGUGUAUAAGGAAGUCGCAACUAAAGUAACAGUCAGAAUGAUCAAAGGGGUGCUUGAAAUUACAGUUGUUAUUGGCUUAGGACUUGCAGUUGCUCGUUUGAUACAUGCAACCUUACCAAAAAAAAGAAG